GUGUCUUUAGUCUAAUUGGAUAAGACACAUGAUUCCUAAUCAUGAGAUGACAGUUCAAUUCUGUCAGGACACA
rnacentral:tRNA from 1 species